rnacentral:rRNA from 1 species
AGUGAACGCUGGCGGUAGGCCUAACACAUGCAAGUCGAACGGCAGCACGGUAGCUUGUGCCUGGUAGGGGGGGGCGUAGGGGGGGGGGGGAGAACGCAACAGGACCUUAUUUUUGGGGGGGGGCGACGGAAGGCAAAUUAAUACCACAACCGAUCACGACCUGAGGGGGAAGGACGGGGGUCUCGGGCCCUUUCGGGUUUGAUGAUGCCGAAUUCGGAUUAGCUAGUUGGCGGGGUAAAGGCCCACCAAGGCGACGAUCCGUAGCUGGUCUGAGAGGAUGAUCAGCCACACUGGAACUGAGACACGGUCCAGACUCCUACGGGAGGCAGCAGUGGGGAAUAUUGGACAAUGGGCGAAAGCCUGAUCCAGCAAUACCGCGUGUGUGAAGAAGGCCUUCGGGUUGUAAAGCCCUUUUGUUGGGAAAGAAAAGCAGCAGGUUAAUACCCCGGUGUUCUGACGGUACCCAAAGAAUAAGCACCGGCUAACUUCGUG